ACCCAAAGUAAUCAAAGUAAAGUGAACACACUUACUUAAAUUUUGCUUCAGGAUUACCACCCCCCUACCCCAAAUAGAAUUUGGAGCAGAAAUGGAAAAGGCUUUUGAAUGAUUUCAUGCAGAAUUAUUUUUGGGAAAGCUACACUGGAGUGGAUAAAUUUUUCUUCAGCAUGUGUUUGAGAUGAGGCAGAGGGAAGGGUAGAUUCAAUUUUAGUUUUAAAUAUUUUGGGGUAAAGUGAGAAUGACAGUUCUACAGUUUUUGACACAUAAGUUGUCUUUGGAAUUGUUCUCAUCAUCAAGUGUAAAGAUUCACAUCCGAAUGGCCACCGUCACGUGGGUUUCUGUAUCCCCUGGUGCUGCUCCUAACCUGAACUCAUGGUCAGCUGCUGUACUGAGGCCAGAGCACUCAAGGUGAAUGUAGUCAAGAAAUUUUAAAACUGAUCAGAGUGUUUUCUACAGCAAGGCCUCCAGUGUUUGGCUGAAUGCAGAGUCUGUUGAAGUGGUAAGGUGGUGAUAAGGUUUUUUCAUCACUCACCUUGUUUGUACUUUUGUACUCCAUUGCUUGCACUAGCAUCUUAGUGUGAAGUUCAACAAUUGUUUCACAGUGUAUUCAGACUAUUAAGCAUAAUUUAUAUAAAGAUGUUUGUUUACCUUUAUGUAUUUUAUGAAGAAUUGCUACAAUAGAUGGUUAAAUGUUCUUAAAUUGUGUUUGUAUGUUAUUUUGAUUAUGUUCUGUUAUCUUCACCUCAUAUGAAUUUGAGUGUCAGGAAUAGAAAAGUAAAAUGCUUAUCUGUUCUUUGAAAAAAAAAAA